rnacentral:rRNA from 1 species
GAUGAACGCUGGCGGCGUGCCUAACACAUGCAAGUCGAGCGAUCUUCUUCGGAGGAGAGCGGCGGACGGGUGAGUAACGCGUGGGUAACCUGCCCUGUACACACGGAUAACAUACCGAAAGGUAUGCUAAUACGAGAUAAUAUACUUUUAUCGCAUGGUAGAAGUAUCAAAGCUCCGGCGGUACAGGAUGGACCCGCGUCUGAUUAGCUAGUUGGUAAGGUAACGGCUUACCAAGGCGACGAUCAGUAGCCGACCUGAGAGGGUGAUUGGCCACAUUGGAACUGAGACACGGUCCAAACUCCUACGGGAGGCAGCAGUGGGGAAUAUUGCACAAUGGGCGAAAGCCUGAUGCAGCAACGCCGCGUGAGCGAUGAAGGCCUUCGGGUCGUAAAGCUCUGUCCUCAAGGAAGAUAAUGACGGUACUUGAGGAGGAAGCCCCGGCUAACUACGUGCCAGCAGCCGCCGCGG